GACGAACGCUGGCGGCGUGCCUAACACAUGCAAGUCGAGCGAACAGACCCGGCGUUUGUUCCUUUGUCGUUUGCGGCGGAGGGGAGAGUCACAUGUGGAUAAUCUACCUAUCUGACUGGGAUAAUCUCGGGAAACCGGAUCUUACCCCGGAUGAUCUAUUGCACCGUGUUGUUCAAUAGUGAAAUUCGGUUUUGGUGUCUCUAAUAGCUGGAUACGCGCUGCAUUAGCUGGUUGGUAAGGUAAAGGCUUAUCAAGGCUACGAGGCGUAGACGACCGAAGAGAGUGGUCGGCCACCCGGGAAGUGAGACGCGGUCAAGACUCCUGAGGGAGGCAGCAGUAGGGAAUCUUACGCAAUGGGGGAGAGCAUGACGGAGCAAGGCGGCGUAAGAUGUGAAGGUGUUGGGAUCGUAAAGAUCUGUUGUUAGGGGAGAACAAAUGUGUAAGUAGCUGUGGAGGUAUUGACGGUACCGGGUCAAGAAGCCACGGCUAACUACGUG
rnacentral:rRNA from 1 species